rnacentral:rRNA from 1 species
AAUUUUGGACAAUGGGGGAAACCCUGAUCCAGCCAUCCCGCGUGUAUGAUGAAGGCCUUCGGGUUGUAAACCGCUUUUCGAGGGGAAGAGGAAGGACGGUACCCUCGGAAUAAGUCUCGGCUAACUACGUGCCAGCAGCCGCGGUAAAACGUAGGAGGCGAGCGUUAUCCGGAUUUACUGGGUGUAAAGCGCGUGCAGGCGGCCGCGCAAGUCGUGCGUGAAAGCGCCCGGCUCAACCGGGCGAGGUCGUGCGAAACUGCGGGGCUUGAGGCAGGUAGAGGCGUGUGGAAUUCCGGGUGUAGUGGUGAAAUGCGUAGAGAUCCGGAGGAACACCAGUGGCGAAGGCGGCACGCUGGGCUGCACCUGACGCUGAGCCGCGAAAGCUAGGGGAGCGAACGGG